GUCGAGCGGUACAGGAAGAGGUUUGUUUCUCUGGUGACGAGUGGCGGACGGGUGAGUAGUGUGUGGGAAUCUGUCUGAUGGGGGGGGAUAACUACUGGAAACGGUAUCUAAUACCGUAUAAUGUCUACACCCCAAAGAGGGGGACCUUCGGGUCUCGUGCCAUCAGAUGUGCCCAUAUGGGAUUAUCUAGUGGGUGGGGUAACGGCUCACCUAGGAGACUAUCCCUAUGUGGUCUGAGAGGAUGACCACCCACUCUGGCACUGACACACGGCCCACACUCCUACGGGAGGCAGCAGUGGGGAAUAUUGCACAGUGGGCGCAAGUCUGAUGCACCCAUGCCGCGUGUAUGAAGAAGGUCUUCGGGGUGUAAAGCUCUUUCAGCGGGGAGGAAGGUGGUAGGGAUAAUACCCUUGGUUAUUGACGUUACCCACAAAAAAAGCACCGUAUAACUCCGUGCCAGCACCCGCGGAAAUACGGAGGGUGCAAGCGUUAAUCGGAAUUACUGGGCGUAAAGCGCACGCAGGCGGUUUGUUAAGUCAUAUGUGAUAUCCCCGGUCUCCACCUGAGCUCUGCAUCUGACACUGGCGAUCUAGAGUCUUGUAGAGGGGGGUAGAAUUCCAUGUGUAGCGGAGAAAUGCGUAGAGAUGUGGAGGAAUACCGGUGGAGAACGCGCCCCCCCUGCACAAACACUGACUCUCAUGUGCGAGAGCGUGGAGAGCACACAGGAUUAUAUACUGUGGUAGCACACGGCGUAAACUGAUGUCGAUUUGGGAUGUGUGCCCUUGACGCGUGUCUUCCGGAUCUAACGCGUUAAAGUCCACCCGCCUGGAGAGCUACGGCGGAAGUGAUAACACUCAAAAUGAAUUCGACGGGGGCCCGCACAAGCUGUAGCAUUAUGUGGUUUUAAUUCUGAUGCACGAGAGCAUCAUCAUCUGCUC
rnacentral:rRNA from 1 species